GACGAACGCUGGCGGCGUGCUUAACACAUGCAAGUCGAGCGGAAAGGCCCUGCUUGCAGGGUACUCGAGUGGCGAACGGGUGAGUAACACGUGGGUGAUCUGCCCUGCACUUCGGGAUAAGCCUGGGAAACUGGGUCUAAUACCGGAUAGGAGCCAUUUUUAGUGUGAUGGUUGGAAAGUUUUUUCGGUGUAGGAUGAGCUCGCGGCCUAUCAGCUUGUUGGUGGGGUAAUGGCCUACCAAGGCGGCGACGGGUAGCCGGCCUGAGAGGGUGGACGGCCACAUUGGGACUGAGAGACGGCCCAGACUCCUACGGGAGGCAGCAGUGGGGAAUAUUGCACAAUGGGCGCAAGCCUGAUGCAGCGACGCCGCGUGGGGGAUGACGGCCUUCGGGUUGUAAACUCCUUUCGCUAGGGACGAAGCUUUUUGUGACGGUACCUAGAUAAGAAGCACCGGCUAACUACGUG
rnacentral:rRNA from 1 species